rnacentral:tRNA from 1 species
AAGGGAGACCUAAUUCAGGUAGGCGACGAAAAAAAAGUAGUCCCAACCAAGAAUCAACCCCAAAAGGUCGGAGCGAGGCAAGAUUGGCUUUCAAACUAGGUUCUGGGUUCACACAAGACCUGAAUCAGGAACAAGGGCUAUUAGCUCAGGUGGUUAGAGCGCACCCCUGAUAAGGGUGAGGUCCCUGGUUCGAGUCCAGGAUGGCCCACCUGCACAGGUGGAAAAAAGAAAAAAGCGAGGAAUCAGCACCUUAUCUUACUUAUAUAGUAAGAGAGAAUGCUGGCUCUGAGUUCAGAGUCCAGAGGAACCUUGAAAACUGCAUAGAGCUAGGUGAAAAAGCCAAAAAAGAAGACCGCAA